AACCGUCGCCCCAUAGUCUGGGAUACCACUUGGAAACAGGUGCUAAUACCGGAUAAGAAAGCGGAUCGCAUGAUCAGCUUUUAAAAGGCGGCGUAAGCUGUCGCUAUGGGAUGGCCCCGCGGUGCAUUAGCUAGUUGGUAAGGUAAAGGCUUACCAAGGCGAUGAUGCAUAGCCGAGUUGAGAGACUGAUCGGCCACAUUGGGACUGAGACACGGCCCAAACUCCUACGGGAGGCAGCAGAC
rnacentral:rRNA from 1 species